CAAGGUUCGACUUGAGCGCCAGCGAGAGAGCGUUGCCGCAGGCAACGACCCGAAGGGCGAAGCGCGCAGCGCUGAGUAAUCCUUCCCCCACCACCA
rnacentral:sRNA from 1 species